rnacentral:rRNA from 1 species
AGCGAACGCUGGCGGCAGGCCUAACACAUGCAAGUCGAACGAACUCUUCGGAGUUAGUGGCGGACGGGUGAGUAACACGUGGGAACGUGCCUUUAGGUUCGGAAUAACUCAGGGAAACUAGUGCUAAUACCGAAUGUGCCCUUCGGGGGAAAGAUUUAUCGCCUUUAGAGCGGCCCGCGUCUGAUUAGCUAGUUGGUGAGGUAAAGGCUCACCAAGGCGACGAUCAGUAGCUGGUCUGAGAGGAUGAUCAGCCACAUUGGGACUGAGACACGGCCCAAACUCCUACGGGAGGCAGCAGUGGGGAAUCUUGCGCAAUGGGCGAAAGCCUGACGCAGCCAUGCCGCGUGAAUGAUGAAGGUCCUAGGAUUGUAAAAUUCUUUCACCGGGGACGAUAAUGACGGUACCCGGAGAAGAAGCCCCGGCUAACUUCGUG